UACCGGGCGAUGCGGCGAGGAGGCAUCUUCUUGCCGUGAAAUGAAUUUCGCCUCGGGAGGGGCUCACGUAGUAUUAGCUUGUUGGUGAGGUAACGGCUCACCAAGGCCAAGAUGCUUAGCGGGUGUGAGAGCACGACCCGCGCCACUGGCACUGAGACACUGGCCAGACUCCUACGGGAGGCUGCAGUCGAGGAUCUUCGGCAAUGGGCGCAAGCCUGACCGAGCGACGCCGCGUGUGCGAUGAAGGCCUUCGGGUUGUAAAGCACUGUCGAGGGGGAGGAAGCUCCGCAAGGGGUUGACCUAUCCCUGGAGGAAGCACGGGCUAAGUUCGUGCCAGCAGCCGCGGUAAGACGAACCGUGCGAACGUUGUUCGGAUUCACUGGGCUUAAAGGGCGCGUAGGCGGGCGGUCAAGUCGGGGGUGAAAUCUUUCAGCUUAACUGGAAAAGUGCCUCCGAUACUGAUUGUCUU
rnacentral:rRNA from 1 species